rnacentral:rRNA from 1 species
GACGAACGCUGGCGGCGUGCUUAACACAUGCCAGUCGAACGGAAAGGCCCUGCUUUUGUGGGGUGCUCGAGUGGCGAACGGGUGAGUAACACGUGAGUAACCUGCCCUUGACUUUGGGAUAACUUCAGGAAACUGGGGCUAAUACCGGAUAGGAGCUCCUGCUGCAUGGUGGGGGUUGGAAAGUUUCGGCGGUUGGGGAUGGACUCGCGGCUUAUCAGCUUGUUGGUGGGGUAGUGGCUUACCAAGGCUUUGACGGGUAGCCGGCCUGAGAGGGUGACCGGCCACAUUGGGACUGAGAUACGGCCCAGAGUCCUACGGGAGGCAGCAGUGGGGAAUAUUGCACAAUGGGCGGAAGCCUGAUGCAGCAACGCCGCGUGCGGGAUGACGGCCUUCGGGUUGUAAACCGCUUUCGCCUGUGACGAAGCGUGAGUGGCGGUAAUGGGUAAAGAAGCACCGGCUAACUACGUG